rnacentral:lncRNA from 1 species
CUGAGGCCUCAUGUUGCCACCGACACCUCACUGUAGGCUCCACUCUUCUCUGCCUCUAUGUUCUCAGUGGUGCUCAGACAACCUGGCUUCCUGUUUGUCCCCUGCCCUACCUGGCCCAAAAUUCUGUGGAGAAGACCCACAUACCUCUGGCAGCAGAAGUCAAAUUCUGUCAGUCAGUAAGGUGGAUCCCUGCCCUUCACCGGGGACCUCCAGCCAGAUGGUGCCUUUGGGGUGGCCCUGGCCACCAUGGUGCAGGUAACAGGUGUCCGGAGACCCUAAAUGAGGUCUGAGGGACCAGAUGUGGAGCCAGCAAUUGGACCCCCAACACUGUAUCAUCUCUAUCAUCUGCGGCUUGUGAAACCUUACACCCUACCAGCUGACCCCCAUCCCCAAAUCCCAAGGGGCUAUGGAUAGGCUUGGAUAUGGCUGGGCUGGGGGAUAGAGUGACUGGAAGGGCACUGGAAGCAGUGGUUACCUGUAGCAUCAGACUGCCCAGAUGCCACUGUCGGCUGGGCCAGCCUGGAACUCUGCCCUUACCUGAUGUGCAGGCUCUACCUGUCACCCCGCAGGAAGUGGACUGUUUAAAGAGCCAUAAAAGCCACAAAAGCAGAGCUUUUGAAGAGGGCUACUGAAGAGUGCACUUCCCCCCGCACGGGUGACGCGGUGACAGAAUCCAUGUGCAGGAGCCGGCUACUUCAUCACAGAGACGGAGAGCCGCAUUG